rnacentral:rRNA from 1 species
UAAGUAAGCGGAGGAAAAGAAACUAAAUAGGAUUCCCUUAGUAAUGGCGAAUGAACAGGGAUCAGCUCAGGAUGGAAAUCGGGGCCCUCGGCCUUGAAUUGUAAUCUGGAGAUGCAUUACCAACUGCGGCACAGAUGUAAGCCUCUUGGAAAAGAGCAUCAGUGAGGGUGAGAAUCCCGCAUGUCAUCUGUAGUCCUCAGUGUACGGUGUGCAUUCUAAGAGUCACACUCCUCGGGACUGGAGUGCAAAUUGGGUGGUAAAUUUCAUCUAAAGCUAAAUAUUUGUUCGAGACCGAUAGCAAACAAGUACCAUGAGGGAAAGGUGAAAAGGACUUUGAGAAGAGAGUUAAAAGUGCCUGAAAUUGCUGAAAGAGAAGCGAAUGGAACCAGUCAAACUUGGCAAGAUUGUCGCGAGCCAGCGGGAUUGCUCGUUACUUCAACGUAAGUGUGGUAGCGGGUUUUGAUCGUGACGUUCGUGGUGUUUCUUGCUUGGCCUGUCAACUUCAGUUCACGGUGAGGAAAACUUCAAGGACCUGGUAGCUUGGCACCCGCUGAGUGAAUGUGCUUGUGGGAACUCAUCUGUGGUCUGAUCGUUGAUGAAAUGGUUCCAUCCGACCG